CGACUACAUCGGUUAACUGCGCGUAUGCGAGGAAAGUCCGUGCUCCACAGAGCAGGAUGCCGGAUAACGUCCGGUGGGGGCGACCCUAAGGCUAGUGCAACAGAAAUAUACCGCCGGCAACGGUAAGGAUGGAAAGGCGAGGUAAGAGCUCACCAGCACAUGGGAGACCAUGUGGCUAUGUAAACCCCAUCUGGAGCAAGACCGCAAUGGAACAAAGAGUGGCUGCUCGUCACUCCCUAGAGGUAGGUCGCUAGAGGCCCCUGGCAACAGUGGUCCCAGAUAGAUAGUUAACGAAUACAGAACACGGCUUAUAGAUGUAGUCGUAAU
rnacentral:RNase_P_RNA from 1 species